CCUUUGUAGAAGAUUCAGCUUGAAAGAACCAUUGAUGGAUGAUUCACUUCAGUACUUGAGCAGUGAUGCGGUCUGAUGCAGCGGUGCGGUGAUGAUGCGGUCUGGUGUGACGGCGAUGCAGUCCGGUGCGGCGACGAUGUGGUUUUAUUGCGGCGAUUCCAUGUGAUUUCAUUUCACACCGCAAUUGUGUUGCCGUUGCGGUGCCGUCCGCAACCGCAAUAUUUCGGCCGCAUCAAGUGAUGUGGUCCGCAAUUUCAUAUUCUGAUUUUGUUGUCUGUUUUAUAAAUACUAAUACACAUAUGUUAUCUCUUCUACUGGUUGUUUUACUUGUAUUAAAUAUUUUGGUUAAACUAUAUGGUAUUUUGCUACUUCUGUCACUAAGAAAACACUGGAGAGAGUGAGGCCCACUGACCAAACUAGAUGGAAACAGGAAGAGUGGUGUCUGACAGGCAGAUGGGAUCAGCGGCGACCUCAUUCGGGGUCUGGAGGCUGACCUUCACGCUCCGUUAAUAGUGACGGCAAAAGAAACGCAUAUAACAACACAUGUGGCUGUGGUUGACAAAGGGACUAGGUGGACUGGUUGAUCUGACGAUAACGAGUCUGAUGGUGUAUUCAUCAUUCUACCUAAGGUCCUGUGUUUCGGCUAGGUUUUGACACUCUUGACCGACCCAAUAAUUGUUGCAACAAGGAGUUUUGGAGGCAUAUAGCAUCAAAAUUUGGAUGAUAAGAUUAAUUCUCUCUACAAAGUAAUAGCAUCUCUUGCAGCAGUGCCUAAGUCACAAGAUUCACAAAAGGAGCAUGUCUUUGAAAACUUAUUUUCAAGUAGGACCAUCAGAAAGCUAAUUUUAGAUUGCACUGACUUUGCUUCCAUCUUAGGGGAGGAAGCUUUAAAAGGAAAAAGUGAAUUAUGGGCCCAUGGUCACAGGUUUCUGAAGAAGGAAGUGCAAUUUCAUCACUUCAUAAAAAGAUCAUCAGAUGCAAGCAACACACGUAAAGAAAAUCAUCAAAAUCCUAAACUGAC